rnacentral:rRNA from 1 species
UACGUAGGGGGCAAGCGUUGUCCGGAAUCAUUGGGCGUAAAGCGCACGUAGGCGGCCCGGUAAGUCCGUUGUGAAAGUCAGAGGCUCAACCUCUGGAGGCCAAUGGAUACUGCCGGGCUAGAGUCCGGAAGAGGCGAGUGGAAUUCCUGGUGUAGCGGUGAAAUGCGCAGAUAUCAGGAGGAACACCAGCGGCGAAGGCGGCGCUCUGGGCCGGUACUGACGCUGAGGAGCGAAAGCGUGGGUAGCAAACAGG